rnacentral:rRNA from 1 species
GCGAAUCCAAUCAAAGCUGGUCUCAGUUCGGAUUGCAGGCUGCAACUCGCCUGCAUGAAGUCGGAAUUGCUAGUAAUCGCGGAUCAGCAUGCCGCGGUGAAUACGUUCCCGGGUCUUGUACACACCGCCCGUCACACCACGAGAGUUUACAACACCCGAAGUCGGUGAGGUAACCGCAAGGAGCCAGCCGCCGAAGGUGGGGUAGAUGAUUGGGGUGAAGUCGUAACAAGGUAGCCGUAUCGGAAGGUGCGGCUGGAUCACCUCCUUUCUAUGGAGUACCUCGCUUCCGUAGCGAAGCGGUACAAACGGUCAGCGCAAGCUGCCGGAUAUGCUUUCGAAGUAGCUUUGCUUCGUAAAGCUUUUAGCUCACUCGUUGGUCAGUUUUGAGAGGUUAAGCCUCUUAUGCGUUUGGUGAUAAUGGCGGAGGGGUUCCACGCGUACCCAUCUCGAACACGACCGUUAAGCCCUCCAGCGCCGAUGGUACUUGGACCGCAGGGUCCUGGGAGAGUAGGACGUCGCCAAGCGCAGCCCAUUUUAUGGGUUGCCUUUUAAAUUUAACAUUACUUUUACGGGCCCUUAGCUCAGCUGGUUAGAGCGCACCCCUGAUAAGGGUGAGGUCGGUGGUUCGAGUCCACUAGGGCCCACCAUACAACUCCAUAUUCACUUAUACGUGCUUUGGAGUGGCGUAUGGGGCCAUAGCUCAGCUGGGAGAGCGCCUGCCUUGCAAGCAGGAGGUCAGCGGUUCGAUCCCGCUUGGCUCCACCAUAAAUGCUAUCUCUUCCAUAACUUACCGCUUGAUUGGUGAGUGUGGACUUGAUAAGAUAGUCUUCCGCCAGUAAAAUGGUGGUGGAACAAUUUGCUGAAAGGUUGAACGUCACCUUGCGUGAUCGUUACAAAAUUUCAUCAUUGCUGAUCAUUACAACCUCACGAAGUGAUGGCUGCGCAUGAUCGAGCAUUUGAUCCUUGAAAACUGGAUAACGAAACGAAAUUUGCGUUUUAGAAAUAUUCCUUUUCUGAUGAAUUUAAAUGAGCUGCAAAGCCAAAUUAAAAUUCAUCAUAGCUGAACUUGUGUCAAAACAAGUGAAGUGAAAAGUGGCUAGCGAAGGUUUUGGGACUGGAGAUCCUUUGUGAGGCGAUUUCUACCUUGUAUGAAUUUACUUGAUCAAGAAAUCGACGAACAACAGAGCGCCAGGCGCAAAACCGAAGCAUUAUGGUUAAGCUACUAAGAGCACACGGAGGAUGCCUAGGCGCUAGGAGCCGACGAAGGACGUGGCGAACAACGAAACUGCCUCGGGGAGCUGUAAGCAAGCUUUGAUCCGGGGGUGUCCGAAUGGGGAAACCCGGCUGUGGUAAUACGCAGUCACUCGCAUCUGAAUACAUAGGAUGCGUAGAGGCAUACCAGGGGAACUGAAACAUCUAAGUACCCUGAGGAAGAGAAAACAAGAGUGAUUCCGUCAGUAGCGGCGAGCGAACGCGGAACAGCCUAAACCAGAGAGCUUGCUCUCUGGGGUUGUGGGACGUCUCACACGGAGUUACAAAGGAACAGGUUAGACGAACAGGUCUGGAAAGGCCGGCCGUAGAAGGUAAAAGCCCUGUAAUNGCUGGGCUGUGAUGGGGAGGGAAAAUUUACAGUACCGAAGGUCAUGAUCUCACACUGCCAAGAAAAGCCUCUAGCCAGGAGAAGGUGCCCGUACCGCAAACCGACACAGGUAGGCGAGAAGAGAAUUCUAAGGCGCGCGGAAGAACUCUCGUUAAGGAACUCGGCAAAAUGACCCCGUAACUUUGGGAGAAGGGGUGCCCCGGUAGUGUGAAUAGCACGAGGGGGCCGCAGUGAAAAGGCCCAAGCGACUGUUUAGCAAAAACACAGGUCUGUGCGAAGCCGUAAGGCGAAGUAUACGGGCUGACGCCUGCCCGGUGCUGGAAGGUUAAGGGGAGCGGUUAGGGAGUAAUCCCGAAGCUGUGAACCGAAGCCCCAGUAAACGGCGGCCGUAACUAUAACGGUCCUAAGGUAGCGAAAUUCCUUGUCAGGUAAAUUCUGACCCGCACGAAUGGCGUAACGACUUGGGCGCUGUCUCAACGAGAGAUCCGGUGAAAUUUUAAUACCUGUGAAGAUGCAGGUUACCCGCGACAAGACGGAAAGACCCCAUGGAGCUUUACUACAGCUUGAUAUUGAACUUUGAUGCGAUUUGUACAGGAUAGGUGGGAGCCUAGGAAUCCGGAGCGCCAGCUUCGGUGGAGGCAUCGUUGGGAUACCACCCUGAUCGUAUCGAAGUUCUAACCUAGGACCGUGACCCGGUUCGGGGACAGUGUCAGGCGGGUAGUUUGACUGGGGCGGUCGCCUCCUAAAGAGUAACGGAGGCGCCCCAAGGUUCCCUCAGAAUGGUUGGAAAUCAUUCGUAGAGUGCAAAGGCAAAAGGGAGCUUGACUGCGAGACUGACAAGUCGAGCAGGGACGAAAGUCGGGCUUAGUGAUCCGGUGGUACCGCAUGGAAGGGCCAUCGCUCAACGGAUAAAAGCUACCCUGGGGAUAACAGGCUUAUCUCCCCCAAGAGUCCACAUCGACGGGGAGGUUUGGCACCUCGAUGUCGGCUCAUCGCAUCCUGGGGCUGAAGUAGGUCCCAAGGGUUGGGCUGUUCGCCCAUUAAAGCGGUACGCGAGCUGGGUUCAGAACGUCGUGAGACAGUUCGGUCCCUAUCUGUCGUGGGCGUAGGAAAUUUGAGAGGAGCUGUCCUUAGUACGAGAGGACCGGGAUGGACGCACCGCUGGUGCACCAGUUGUUCCGCCAGGAGCAUAGCUGGGUAGCUACGUGCGGAUGGGAUAAACGCUGAAAGCAUCUAAGCGUGAAGCCCUCCUCAAGAUGAGAUUUCCCAAUUUAGUAAGACCCCUUGAAGACGACGAGGUUGAUAGGCCUGAGGUGGAAGUGCAGCAAUGUAUGGAGCUGACAGGUACUAAUCGGUCGAGGGCUUAUCCAA